rnacentral:rRNA from 1 species
GGUUAAGCGACUAAGCGUACACGGUGGAUGCCCUGGCAGUCAGAGGCGAUGAAGGACGUGCUAAUCUGCGAUAAGCGUCGGUAAGGUGAUAUGAACCGUUAUAACCGGCGAUUUCCGAAUGGGGAAACCCAGUGUGUUUCGACACACUAUCAUUAACUGAAUCCAUAGGUUAAUGAGGCGAACCGGGGGAACUGAAACAUCUAAGUACCCCGAGGAAAAGAAAUCAACCGAGAUUCCCCCAGUAGCGGCGAGCGAACGGGGAGCAGCCCAGAGCCUGAAUCAGUGUGUGUGUUAGUGGAAGCGUCUGGAAAGGCGCGCGAUACAGGGUGACAGCCCCGUACACAAAAAUGCACAUACUGUGAGCUCGAUGAGUAGGGCGGGACACGUGGUAUCCUGUCUGAAUAUGGGGGGACCAUCCUCCAAGGCUAAAUACUCCUGACUGACCGAUAGUGAACCAGUACCGUGAGGGAAAGGCGAAAAGAACCCCGGCGAGGGGAGUGAAAAAGAACCUGAAACCGUGUACGUACAAGCAGUGGGAGCCUCUUUUAUGGGGUGACUGCGUACCUUUUGUAUAAUGGGUCAGCGACUUAUAUUCUGUAGCAAGGUUAACCGAAUAGGGGAGCCGAAGGGAAACCGAGUCUUAACUGGGCGUUAAGUUGCAGGGUAUAGACCCGAAACCCGGUGAUCUAGCCAUGGGCAGGUUGAAGGUUGGGUAACACUAACUGGAGGACCGAACCGACUAAUGUUGAAAAAUUAGCGGAUGACUUGUGGCUGGGGGUGAAAGGCCAAUCAAACCGGGAGAUAGCUGGUUCUCCCCGAAAGCUAUUUAGGUAGCGCCUCGUGAAUUCAUCUCCGGGGGUAGAGCACUGUUUCGGCAAGGGGGUCAUCCCGACUUACCAACCCGAUGCAAACUGCGAAUACCGGAGAAUGUUAUCACGGGAGACACACGGCGGGUGCUAACGUCCGUCGUGAAGAGGGAAACAACCCAGACCGCCAGCUAAGGUCCCAAAGUCAUGGUUAAGUGGGAAACGAUGUGGGAAGGCCCAGACAGCCAGGAUGUUGGCUUAGAAGCAGCCAUCAUUUAAAGAAAGCGUAAUAGCUCACUGGUCGAGUCGGCCUGCGCGGAAGAUGUAACGGGGCUAAACCAUGCACCGAAGCUGCGGCAGCGACACUAUGUGUUGUUGGGUAGGGGAGCGUUCUGUAAGCCUGUGAAGGUGUACUGUGAGGUAUGCUGGAGGUAUCAGAAGUGCGAAUGCUGACAUAAGUAACGAUAAAGCGGGUGAAAAGCCCGCUCGCCGGAAGACCAAGGGUUCCUGUCCAACGUUAAUCGGGGCAGGGUGAGUCGACCCCUAAGGCGAGGCCGAAAGGCGUAGUCGAUGGGAAACAGGUUAAUAUUCCUGUACUUGGUGUUACUGCGAAGGGGGGACGGAGAAGGCUAUGUUGGCCGGGCGACGGUUGUCCCGGUUUAAGCGUGUAGGCUGGUUUUCCAGGCAAAUCCGGAAAAUCAAGGCUGAGGCGUGAUGACGAGGCACUACGGUGCUGAAGCAACAAAUGCCCUGCUUCCAGGAAAAGCCUCUAAGCAUCAGGUAACAUCAAAUCGUACCCCAAACCGACACAGGUGGUCAGGUAGAGAAUACCAAGGCGCUUGAGAGAACUCGGGUGAAGGAACUAGGCAAAAUGGUGCCGUAACUUCGGGAGAAGGCACGCUGAUAUGUAGGUGAAGUCCCUCGCGGAUGGAGCUGAAAUCAGUCGAAGAUACCAGCUGGCUGCAACUGUUUAUUAAAAACACAGCACUGUGCAAACACGAAAGUGGACGUAUACGGUGUGACGCCUGCCCGGUGCCGGAAGGUUAAUUGAUGGGGUCAGCGCAAGCGAAGCUCUUGAUCGAAGCCCCGGUAAACGGCGGCCGUAACUAUAACGGUCCUAAGGUAGCGAAAUUCCUUGUCGGGUAAGUUCCGACCUGCACGAAUGGCGUAAUGAUGGCCAGGCUGUCUCCACCCGAGACUCAGUGAAAUUGAACUCGCUGUGAAGAUGCAGUGUACCCGCGGCAAGACGGAAAGACCCCGUGAACCUUUACUAUAGCUUGACACUGAACAUUGAGCCUUGAUGUGUAGGAUAGGUGGGAGGCUUAGAAGUGUGGACGCCAGUCUGCAUGGAGCCGACCUUGAAAUACCACCCUUUAAUGUUUGAUGUUCUAACGUUGACCCGUAAUCCGGGUUGCGGACAGUGUCUGGUGGGUAGUUUGACUGGGGCGGUCUCCUCCUAAAGAGUAACGGAGGAGCACGAAGGUUGGCUAAUCCUGGUCGGACAUCAGGAGGUUAGUGCAAUGGCAUAAGCCAGCUUGACUGCGAGCGUGACGGCGCGAGCAGGUGCGAAAGCAGGUCAUAGUGAUCCGGUGGUUCUGAAUGGAAGGGCCAUCGCUCAACGGAUAAAAGGUACUCCGGGGAUAACAGGCUGAUACCGCCCAAGAGUUCAUAUCGACGGCGGUGUUUGGCACCUCGAUGUCGGCUCAUCACAUCCUGGGGCUGAAGUAGGUCCCAAGGGUAUGGCUGUUCGCCAUUUAAAGUGGUACGCGAGCUGGGUUUAGAACGUCGUGAGACAGUUCGGUCCCUAUCUGCCGUGGGCGCUGGAGAACUGAGGGGGGCUGCUCCUAGUACGAGAGGACCGGAGUGGACGCAUCACUGGUGUUCGGGUUGUCAUGCCAAUGGCACUGCCCGGUAGCUAAAUGCGGAAGAGAUAAGUGCUGAAAGCAUCUAAGCACGAAACUUGCCCCGAGAUGAGUUCUCCCUGACCCUUUAAGGGUCCUGAAGGAACGUUGAAGACGACGACGUUGAUAGGCCGGGUGUGUAAGCGCAGCGAUGCGUUGAGCUAACCGGUACUAAUGAACCGUGAGGCUUAACCUU